AUGAGCGACGGAAAUCAUAAUAUAAGUAGGGCUAAGAUGUUUCUGCACAAUCACUACUUGUGCCUUGGGGUUUUGCAAUUUUUUGCCCUACCUGUGCUGGUACCUUCUCUUUCUUGCUCUGCUUAUCUCAGAUUGAUGUAGUUAAUGGACACACUGGAAACGGACGGACUAUAGAAAGGCCAAAGUUACAUGUGUAUAAACUAGUGUCUUUAAAUAAGUCCAGCAAUGUGAGUGAUCAUGUAAAGAACGUACUGUCUCCCCUGAAGGCUCUAUAUAUCAAAGCUACUGACCUCAAGAAGAUAUCGACCGGGAAGAAUGACAAGGGACUCAAGCUUAGUUAUAUUGAUGGCGAUGAGGAGAUUCUUAGAUAUAGAGGCUACCCAAUUGAGGAGUUGGCAGAGAAAAGCACUUUUACCGAAGUGUCCUAUCCUAUCUCAUAAAUACGUGAGUAUUAUUCUUUUCUUUACCUUGUUUAUGUGUAGAUAAAACAUUUCGACUAAUGAUUAGCUUAUAUAGAGAUUUUAUGUCAGUGAAGACACAUGUAACUAAACAUUUCUUUACCUUGUUUAUAGGCAACCCUAACCACCCUAGUAGGUCCACCCCUGAUCCAUUGUUAAGUCAAUAAUUACCGUACUUACCAUCAGAUAAUGCUUAUUCUUAGUGGCAAUAAAAAAGCCGAUCUUGGACCUCCUUCUAAUAGCCUAAACAUUUGGGAGAGUUGGUCUUUGACAUGUUAUCAUAGCUUUCUGACCAAGCUGUGAGGUGUUUGAUUCAUGUUGUCCCCAUUCUGUAUAAUUAACUCGAAUUUCAGUACAAGUUAAAAUGGGCCUGUGCAUUGCUACAGUUCAACAC